GACGACGCUGGCGGCGUGCCUAACACAUGCAAGUCGAGCGAGUAGAUUUCCUUCGGGAAUGAAGCUAGCGGCGGACGGGUGAGUAACACGUGGGCAACCUGCCUCAUAGAGGGGAAUAGCCUCCCGAAAGGGAGAUUAAUACCGCAUAAGAUUGUAGCUUCGCAUGAAGUAGCAAUUAAAGGAGCAAUCCGCUAUGAGAUGGGCCCGCGGCGCAUUAGCUAGUUGGUGAGGUAACGGCUCACCAAGGCGACGAUGCGUAGCCGACCUGAGAGGGUGAUCGGCCACAUUGGGACUGAGACACGGCCCAGACUCCUACGGGAGGCAGCAGUGGGGAAUAUUGCACAAUGGGGGAAACCCUGAUGCAGCAACGCCGCGUGAGUGAUGACGGCCUUCGGGUUGUAAAGCUCUGUCUUCAGGGACGAUAAUGACGGUACCUGAGGAGGAAGCCACGGCUAACUACGUG
rnacentral:rRNA from 1 species